rnacentral:rRNA from 1 species
GACGAACGCUGGCGGCGUGCUUAACACAUGCAAGUCGAGCGGUAAGGCCCUUUCGGGGGUACACGAGCGGCGAACGGGUGAGUAACACGUGGGCGACCUGCCCUUAGCUCUGGGAUAAGCCUGGGAAACUGGGUCUAAUACCGGAUAUGACUCCAUGACGCAUGUUGUGGGGUGGAAAGCCUUGUGCGGCUAGGGAUGGGCCCGCGGCCUAUCAGCUUGUUGGUGGGGUGAUGGCCUACCAAGGCGACGACGGGUAGCCGGCCUGAGAGGGCGACCGGCCACACUGGGACUGAGACACGGCCCAGACUCCUACGGGAGGCAGCAGUGGGGAAUCUUGCGCAAUGGGCGAAAGCCUGACGCAGCGACGCCGCGUGAGGGAUGACGGCCU